rnacentral:rRNA from 1 species
UGAAGGUGUACUGUGAGGUAUGCUGGAGGUAUCAGAAGUGCGAAUGCUGACAUAAGUAACGAUAAAGCGGGUGAAAAGCCCGCUCGCCGGAAGACCAAGGGUUCCUGUCCAACGUUAAUCGGGGCAGGGUGAGUCGACCCCUAAGGCGAGGCCGAAAGGCGUAGUCGAUGGGAAACAGGUUAAUAUUCCUGUACUUGGUGUUACUGCGAAGGGGGGACGGAGAAGGCUA